UACGAGUGCUCCAAGCGUUAUCCGGAAUUAUUGGGCGUAAAGGGUGUGUAGGUUGUUGUGUUAGUCUUCUGUUAAAUUCUUCGGCUUAACCGGGGGCAUGCAGGGGAAACGGCACAACUAGAGGAUGCGAGAGGUGAAUGGAACUCAUGGAGUAGGGGUGAAAUCCGUUGAUAUCAUGGGGAACACCAAAUGCGAAGGCAAUUCACUGGCGCACUCCUGACGCUGAAACACGAAAGCUAGGGGAGCAAACAGG
rnacentral:rRNA from 1 species